UAUAAGAAGAUAGAAUCCAGUGCAUUCUACACAAUAUGAAUGAAAGAGAGUGAAGAAAGUUGCUCAGUGAAUCUGCUACAGCAGGAGAACUUUUUCUGUGCUGUAUGGAGCACUUCAUGCUACUUCACCAAGGCUGACGUCAUGUGGAAAAUGGCCAGUGAUUUUCGUGUCCACCCUGGAGUGUGAAAAGAAACAUCAAUUCAGGCUAGACCAAAGAAGCCACCCACAAGGAGUCCCUGGAUGUGAAGGAGAUACUGCUGCAGUCACCGCUUCUCCAGCAAGGACCCUGAUGGCUUUCCCUGAACAGGCUCGUGGGGCUGGAUAAUGUGAGAGCAGAGAAUGGAACAGAACCUUGGAGAGGUGAUGGCAGCCACUGAGCAGCGUGUGCUGGUUGCACCUGCCCUCUGUCGGGGCUGUCUGGGGAGAGCGGUGAUGAGGCGUAGGGUGAGGCGUCUUAGUCCAUGCUCAUCACUCUGGAGGGAACACAACUCCAACCACAAGAACUCAGCUGAAGUCUCUGGUUUGUUGUUUUUUGCUUUGUAGCUGAGAAUGUUAGUAAGUUCUGCUGCUGUUCGACACACGAUAAUGCCACCUUCCUUGUGAGUCACUGAAGAACACGGAAUGUGGUGUGUGAAUUGCUUCAAAGACCCUGAUUGGCCACCCGAACAACAGGUGUCAGUUCUGAAUUUAGGAGGUGCUUAGAAAGUGUUUACUUCGAGAUUUUCAUUAGAAAUAAUUGUUUUAAUCCUAAAUUACUGAAUUUGACCACACUUGGAGGGGGCAGAUCAUGAGUUCACUGAGUUCAUCGCCUGUAGCAUUACACACUCACCUGGUUCAGGUAUAAAGAUGGACAAGCAACAGCUACAAUGAGCAUCCGAGAAAUACAUGCCUGCCUGACCGCACGUGUCUGACAGUCAAGGUCAAUGGCAUUUCAAUGCUUUUCCAACCACCAAUUUGUAUGAUCCUCAUACUGGGUAAGCACCAACAUUCUGUAGAUAAGGAAAUGAGAAGUCGGUCCACUUUACAUAAGCAAAAAAAACACAUGUAUACAUAUGUAACAAACCUGCACAUAGUGCACAUGU